CCCUUAGAUGUCCUGGGCUGCACGCGCGCUACACUGAUGCGUUCAACAAGUUUCCUUGGCCGAGAGGCCUGGGCAAUCUUCUUAAUAUGUAUCGUGAUAGGGAUAGAUUAUUGCAAUUAUUAAUCUUGAACGAGGAAUUCCUAGUAAACGCAGAUCAUCAAUCUGCAUUGAUUACGUCCCUGCCCUUUGUACACACCGCCCGUCGCACCUACCGAUUGGAUGUUCCGGUGAAGCCUCGGGAUGAGGACUGGUGCCUUUAUUGGCAUGAGUUGUUCAGAACUUGUCUAAACCUUAUCAUCUAGAGGAAGGUGAAGUCGUAACA
rnacentral:rRNA from 1 species